rnacentral:rRNA from 1 species
UGACCUCAAAUCAGGUAGGACUACCCGCUGAACUUAAGCAUAUCAAUAAGCGGAGGAAAAGAAACUAACAAGGAUUCCCCUAGUAACUGCGAGUGAAGCGGGAAAAGCUCAAAUUUAAAAUCUGUCAGUCUUUGGCUGUCCGAGUUGUAAUCUAGAGAAGCGUCGUCCGUGCUGGACCGUGUACAAGUCUCCUGGAAUGGAGCGUCAUAGAGGGUGAGAAUCCCGUCCUUGACACGGACUGCCAGGGCUUUGUGAUGCGCUCUCAAAGAGUCGAGUUGUUUGGGAAUGCAGCUCAAAAUGGGUGGUAAAUUCCAUCUAAAGCUAAAUAUUGGCGAGAGACCGAUAGCGAACAAGUACCGUGAGGGAAAGAUGAAAAGAACUUUGGAAAGAGAGUUAAACAGUACGUGAAAUUGCUGAAAGGGAAACGCUUGAAGUCAGUCAUGUUGUCCAGGGAUCAACCUUGCUUUUGCUUGGUGUACUUUCUGGUUGACGGGUCAGCAUCAAUUUUGACUAUUGGAAAAAGAUUGAGGGAAUGUGGCAUCUUUGGAUGUGUUAUAGCCCUUGGUUGCAUACCCUGGUUCCGGUUGAGRACCCGGCCC